UACGUAGGGUGCGAGCGUUGUCCGGAAUUACUGGGCGUAAAGAGCUCGUAGGUGGUUUGUCGCGUUGUUCGUGAAAACUCACAGCUUAACUGUGGGCGUGCGGGCGAUACGGGCAGACUGGAGUACUGCAGGGGAGACUGGAAUUCCUGGUGUAGCGGUGGAAUGCGCAGAUAUCAGGGAGGAACACCGGUGGCGAAGGCGGGUCUCUGGGCAGUGAACUGACGCUGGAGGAGCGAAAGCGUGGGGAGCGAACAGG
rnacentral:rRNA from 1 species